GAUCUGUUUUUAUAAUAAUGGAAAUAAUUGGCAGCAGUCAACAGAAACACCAUAGUUGCUAUUCUCUUUAAUGCAAUUGUCCUGUGAGAAUUCCAGGUAUAAAAAAUGAACCCACCUAGUCAUCCAAUGGGAUAAUAAUCUCUUGAUUUGUGAUUUUAUAUUUACAGAUUCAGCCAUAUCUUCCUAGGACCGAGCAACCAAAACUGGACCAAAGACCUUGGAUCCUCAGCAAUGGGGGUGCAUCUGGUGAUGGUGUUCAUGCUAAAUUUGUGCCAAGGGACACCUGUUCUUGUGGGAGAAUUAAUAAAUAUUUCACUUCUGUUUAGGUUUCUCAUCUGGGAACUGAACUGCUAUAAUCAAAUACAUAAAGAAAUUGAGCUGCCCCUGUCUGAAUUCAAUCUUCACCUUCUGAUGCUGAUGAAACAGGAUUCAAUGCAGGAGGGGGACAGAGCCUGCUUCAAAUGGAAUGGAGUGUGUCCAUCUCUAGCACAUCAUGCUCACUGA
rnacentral:lncRNA from 1 species